ACGGGAGGCAGCAGUGGGGAAUAUUGGGCAAUGGGGGAAACUCUGACGCAGUGACGCCGCGUGCAGGAAGAAGGCUUUCGGAUUGUAAACUGCUUUAGACAGGGAAGAAACAAGACAGUACCUGUAGAAUAAGCUCCGGCUAACUACGUGCCAGCAGCCGCGGUAAUACGUAGGGAGCGAGCGUUAUCCGGAUUUAUUGGGUGUAAAGGGUGCGUAGACGGGAAAUUAAGUUAGUUGUGAAAUCCCUCGGCUUAACUGAGGAACUGCAACUAAAACUGAUUUUCUUGAGUAUUGGAGAGGAAAGCGGAAUUCCUAGUGUAGCGGUGAAAUGCGUAGAUAUUAGGAGGAACACCAGUGGCGAAGGCGGCUUUCUGGACAAAAACUGACGUUGAGGCACGAAAGUGUGGGGAGCAAACAGGAUUAGAUACCCUGGUA
rnacentral:rRNA from 1 species